ACAACACUUUUACCGUCGCAACCAUUUUAUGCACUCUCGGAGUUUGAAGAGUUUGAUGCAAAACUUUCAACUGAUCAUGCAAUUAAAGCUGCAUUCAAAAAAAUGAUUCUGAGAAUUGGUGGCGAAUCUGAAACGUUUUUCCUUAAAAUGGCCAUUAGGAGCAUUAUUUCGGAUGAAUUAGCAAUGGGUUUGUCUUGGCGCGGUACGGUUGACAAACCAAGUAUCCAAAAAUACAACACAUUUGCUAUUAUAAAAGAUAUUUGCUUUUCUAAGUUUUGCAAUGUGACCGACGUUGACAUCAACAAAACUUGCCAACAACAUUUUCUUCACGCAAAGGGCAGAGUAUUGAAAAGGCAAAAAAGGAACUACCUAAAUUAAAUGUGUAUAUUAUUUAUUACUAGCUUUUUUUUAUAAUUUUGUUAUAAGUUUUUAUUUAUCUUUAAAUUAGUGUGUAAUAAACUUAAAUACAAAUAAACUUAGUUAAAAAUACCGAAUCAGAGGAAACAG
rnacentral:lncRNA from 1 species